UAGGGAAUCUUCGGCAAUGGACGAAAGUCUGACCGAGCAACGCCGCGUGAGUGAAGAAGGUUUUCGGAUCGUAAAACUCUGUUGUUAGAGAAGAACAAGGACGUUAGUAACUGAACGUCCCCUGACGGUAUCUAACCAGAAAGCCACGGCUAACUACGUGCCAGCAGCCGCGGUAAUACGUAGGUGGCAAGCGUUGUCCGGAUUUAUUGGGCGUAAAGCGAGCGCAGGCGGUUUCUUAAGUCUGAUGUGAAAGCCCCCGGCUCAACCGGGGAGGGUCAUUGGAAACUGGGAGACUUGAGUGCAGAAGAGGAGAGUGGAAUUCCAUGUGUAGCGGUGAAAUGCGUAGAUAUAUGGGGGAACACCAGUGGCGAAGGCGGCGCUCUGGUCGGUAGCUGACGGUGAGGCGGGAAAGCGUGGGGAGCAAACAGG
rnacentral:rRNA from 1 species